rnacentral:rRNA from 1 species
GACGAACGCUGGCGGCGUGCUUAACACAUGCAAGUCGAGCGGUAAGGCCCUUUCGGGGGUACACGAGCGGCGAACGGGUGAGUAACACGUGGGUGACCUGCCCUCAGCUCUGGGAUAAGCCUGGGAAACUGGGUCUAAUACUGGAUAUGACUCCACGGUGCAUGUCGUGGGGUGGAAAGCCUUGUGCGGCUGAGGAUGGGCCCGCGGCCUAUCAGCUUGGUUGGUGGGGNGAUGGCCUACCAAGGCGACGACGGGUAGCCGGCCUGAGAGGGCGACCGGCCACACUGGGACUGAGACACGGCCCAGACUCCUACGGGAGGCAGCAGUGGGGAAUCUUGCGCAAUGGGCGAAAGCCUGACGCAGCGACGCCGCGUGAGGGAUGACGGCCUGGU